ensembl:lncRNA novel transcript
GAGACCAGCAGGUCACCAGCAGGCCCAGCUGUGCAGCUUCUGUGUUCAGGUUCUCAUGAAGUUAGGACUCCACUUCGCCAUCCACCUGCCUAGCUCCACGGCCCAGACCAGUCUGAUAUGGAUGAGCUGCUUGAACCCUCCUGAGGGGUGGGGAACUUCUAUCUAGGACGGUCAGAACACCUCAGUCUCGGGAAGCCAACUCCAUACAUUAGUUUGACUUGUGGAUUGGCUCUUCUGGAGACACCUUUAAAGGUAGCUCCCAGAAGAGGAUAUGCACUGUCUGGAUAAGUUUGAGGAUAAAAAGACAGAAAGACUUGGGUUCAAACCCCAGCUCCUCGACCUACUGCAUGUCCUUUCUAAACUCAGGCUCCUCAUCAAUGAAAAUGGGGGUACAGUACCCACCUCACAGGAAUGUGGAGGUAAGAAAUGAUGUAUAGUUGAAUUUUGUGAAUGGUGAUACUCAACCACUUUUGACUUAUAAGAACCACAAUUUCAUUCCAUCAGGUUCA